UUGAACGCUGGCGGCAGGCCUAACACAUGCAAGUCGAGCGGAUGAGUGGAGCUUGCUCCAUGAUUCAGCGGCGGACGGGUGAGUAAUGCCUAGGAAUCUGCCUAUUAGUGGGGGACAACGUUUCGAAAGGAACGCUAAUACCGCAUACGUCCUACGGGAGAAAGCAGGGGACCGCAAGGCCUUGCGCGGACGGAGCGGCCGAUGGCAGAUUAGGUAGUUGGUGGGAUAAAAGCUUACCAAGCCGACGAUCUGUAGCUGGUCUGAGAGGACGACCAGCCACACUGGGACUGAGACACGGCCCAGACUCCUACGGGAGGCAGCAGUGGGGAAUUUUGGACAAUGGGCGAAAGCCUGAUCCAGCCAUGCCGCGUGCAGGAUGAAGG
rnacentral:rRNA from 1 species